UCCACGCUGUAAACGAUGAUGACUAACCGUCGGCGAUAUACAGUCGGUGGCCAAGCGAAAGCGAUAAGUCAUCCACCUGGGGAGUACGACCGCAAGGUUGAAACUCAAAGGAAUUGACGGGGGCCCGCACAAGCGGAGGAACAUGUGGUUUAAUUCGAUGAUACGCGAGGAACCUUACCCGGGCUCGAACGGCAGAUGAAUUGAGUAGAGAUAUUCAAGUCUUCGGACAUCUGUCGAGGUGCUGCAUGGUUGUCGUCAGCUCGUGCUGUGAAGUGUCGGCUUAAGUGUCAUAACGAGCGCAACCCUUGCCAUUAGUUGCCAUCAGGUUAUGCUGGGGACUCUAGUGGGACUGCCACCGCAAGGUGUGAGGAAGGGGGGGAUGACGUCAAAUCAGCACGGCCCUUACGUCCGGGGCGACACACGUUUACAAUGGUGGGUACAGAGGGAUGCUACCUGGCGACAGGAUGCUGAUCUCGAAAACCCAUCCCAGUUCGGAUUGGAGUCUGCAACCCGACUCCAUGAAGUUGGAUUCGCUAGUAAUCGCGCAUCAG
rnacentral:rRNA from 1 species